UACGUAGGGUGCGAGCGUUGUCCGGAAUUAUUGGGCGUAAAGGGCUCGUAGGCGGUUUGUCGCGUCGGGAGUGAAAUCAUCUGGCUUAACUGGGUGCUUGCUUUCGAUACGGGCAGACUAGAGGUAUGCAGGGGAGAACGGAAUUCCUGGUGUAGCGGUGAAAUGCGCAGAUAUCAGGAGGAACACCGGUGGCGAAGGCGGCGACCUGGGUAGAUACUGACGCUGAGGUGCGAAAGCGUGGGGAGCAAACAGG
rnacentral:rRNA from 1 species